rnacentral:rRNA from 1 species
GAUGAACGCUGACAGAAUGCUUAACACAUGCAAGUCAACUUGAAUUUGGGUUUUUAACUUAGGUUUGGGUGGCGGACGGGUGAGUAACGCGUAAAGAACUUGCCUCACAGCUAGGGACAACAUUUGGAAACGAAUGCUAAUACCUAAUAUUAUGAUAAUAGGGCAUCCUAUAAUUAUGAAAGCUAUAAGCGCUGUGAGAGAGCUUUGCGUCCCAUUAGCUAGUUGGAGAGGUACCGGCUCACCAAGGCGAUGAUGGGUAGCCGGCCUGAGAGGGUGAUCGGCCACAAGGGGACUGAGACACGGCCCUUACUCCUACGGGAGGCAGCAGUGGGGAAUAUUGGACAAUGGACCGAGAGUCUGAUCCAGCAAUUCUGUGUGCACGAUGAAGUUUUUCGGAAUGUAAAGUGCUUUCAGUUGGGAAGAAACAAAUGACGGUACCAACAGAAGAAGUGACGGCUAAAUACGUG